rnacentral:rRNA from 1 species
AACCUGCCCUCCACUCUGGGAUAACGCUGGGAAACCGGUGCUAAUACUGGAUAUGACCUGCUCGGGCAUCCGAUGUGGGUGGAAAGAUUUAUUGGUGGGGGAUGGACUCGCGGCCUAUCAGCUUGUUGGUGAGGUAAUGGCUUACCAAGGCGACGACGGGUAGCCGGCCUGAGAGGGCGAUCGGCCACACUGGGACUGAGACACGGCCCAGACUCCUACGGGAGGCAGCAGUGGGGAAUAUUGCACAAUGGGCGAAAGCCUGAUGCAGCGACGCCGCGUGAGG